AGGUUGUUAGCUCAGUCGGUAGAGCAGUUGACUUUUAAUCAAUUGGUCGCAGGUUCGAAUCCUGCACGACCCACCA
rnacentral:tRNA from 1 species